CUUGCUUCCACUGAGAAGAUAGUGGCGAACGGGUGAGUAACACGUGGGUAACCUGCCCAUAAGAGGGGGAGUAACAUCCGGAAACGGGUGCUAAUACCGCAUAGUUUUCUUGAUCGCAUGAUCGGGAAAGGAAAGACGGCCUUUGUGCUGCGCUUAUGGAUGGACCCGCGGCGUAUUAGUUAGUUGGUGAGGUAACGGCUCACCAAGACGAUGAUACGUAGCCGACCUGAGAGGGUGAUCGGCCACAUUGGGACUGAGACACGGCCCAAACUCCUACGGGAGGCAGCAGUAGGGAAUCUUCCGCAAUGGACGAAAGUCUGACGGAGCAACGCCGCGUGAGUGAAAGAAGGUUUUCGGAUCGUAAAACUCUGUUGUCAGAGAAGAACAAGUUGGAGAGUAACUGCUCCAGCCUUGACGGUAUCUGACCAGAAAGCCACGGCUAACUACGUGCCAGCCGCGGC
rnacentral:rRNA from 1 species